GGAGAGAUCGCAUAGUGGCCGAGUGCGCGCGCUUGGAGAGCGCGUAGGGCGCAAGUCCUCGAGGGUUCGAAUCCCUCUCUCUCCGCCA
rnacentral:tRNA from 1 species